rnacentral:rRNA from 1 species
GAUGAACGCUGGCGGCGUGCCUAAUACAUGCAAGUCGAGCGAACGGACGAGAAGCUUGCUUCUCUGAUGUUAGCGGCGGACGGGUGAGUAACACGUGGAUAACCUACCUAUAAGACUGGGAUAACUUCGGGAAACCGGAGCUAAUACCGGAUAAUAUUUUGAACCGCAUGGUUCAAAAGUGAAAGACGGUCUUGCUGUCACUUAUAGAUGGAUCCGCGCUGCAUUAGCUAGUUGGUAAGGUAACGGCUUACCAAGGCAACGAUGCAUAGCCGACCUGAGAGGGUGAUCCGCCACACUGGAAGUGAGACACGGUCCAGACUCCUACGGGAGGCAGCAGUAGGGAAUCUUACGCAAUGGGCGAAAGCCUGACGGAGCAACGCCGCGUGAGUGAUGAAGGUCUUCGGAUCGUAAAACUCUGUUAUUAGGGAAGAACAUAUGUGUAAGUAACUGUGCACAUCUUGACGGUACCUAAUCAGAAAGCCACGGCUAACUACGUG